UACGGAGGGAGCUAGCGUUGUUCGGAAUUACUGGGCGUAAAGCGCACGUAGGCGGCUUUGUAAGUUAGAGGUGAAAGCCCGGGGCUCAACCCCGGAAUUGCCUUUAAGACUGCAUCGCUUGAAUCCGGGAGAGGUGAGUGGAAUUCCGAGUGUAGAGGUGAAAUUCGUAGAUAUUCGGAAGAACACCAGUGGCGAAGGCGGCUCACUGGACCGGUAUUGACGCUGGAGGUGCGAAAGCGUGGGGAGCAAA
rnacentral:rRNA from 1 species